UACGUAGGUGGCAAGCGUUGUCCGGAUUUACUGGGCGUAAAGAGCGCGCAGGCGGUCGGAUAAGUCGAAUGUGAAAUCUCCUCGCUCAACGGGGAGAGGCCAUUGGAAACGGUCGAGCUGGAGGGCAGUAGAGGUAGGCGGAAUUCCGGGUGGAGUGGUGAAAUGCGUAGAGAUCCGGAGGAACACCAGAGGCGAAGGCGGCCUACUGGGCUGCACCUGACGCUGAGCCGCGAAAGCUAGGGGAGCAAACAGG
rnacentral:rRNA from 1 species